GCCAGCGUAGCUCAAUUGUUAGAGCAGCGGCCACCAAGCCUGCAGGUUCUCGGUUCAAGUCCGGGCGCUGGCA
rnacentral:tRNA from 2 species